UAAUCGUUUACAGUAUGUGGACACCUUUUGUACCCGAACACACCACACGGCUCUCCAUGUUUUCACCUAAACUGGUGGACAGCUCACUCCUGAAUAGUCACUGCCAAAAAAAAUUAUAAUUUGCUUUGUUAUGAUUUUUAGCCUGUACGUUGUUCCGAACUUCGACACUAUACAGUCCCAUCUGGAAGAAAGCCGGAACAACAAAACAACGAAAGAACAGAGCUCGCCAGGCCGCGGUUGAAAACAUAUCCCAGCGAAGAAACUUUGGAUGCAAUGAAUGACAAAGCAGACUAAGAGAAAGGACAGUCAAAGGCGAACUCUGAGCUCGAGAAGGAACAAUAAUUGCCAGCUAUUCAUGCAAUAGAACAGAUUCGUAUCAAGAGAAACAGCUAAAACUACAACAAAAUUAUGUUUAUAUUUAUUUAUAUUUAUUACUGUUGAGUCUCAUCUAGCCACUGAUUGCUACUAUGAAGCCCAGGCGGGCAUUCGGUCUUGAUAUGAAUUUCUUUCAGUAUUUUUUCUCGACAUAUUCAAUAGAUGUGUCAAGAAUCUCUUGUAGUACUUCUUCAGUGAGCGGUUAUUAUGAUCAAUAAUUAGUACUGAUUAUUUCUCAAAAUGUAUUUUCAUACUCCACUAACACAUGUUUCAGUUUUAGCUACUUGAAUUUUACAGUAUAUUUUCUUUGCAUUCUUUCUUUGGUGAACUUUCCUUUCUUUCUUUUUUUCAUCUGGGUAUAAUAAGUACUAAAUGUGUGGUAAAACAGGGAGCAAGGAA